rnacentral:tRNA from 4 species
GCGGGAAUAGCUCAGUUGGUAGAGCACGACCUUGCCAAGGUCGGGGUCGCGAGUUCGAGUCUCGUUUCCCGCUC